UACGUAGGGGGCCAGCGUUGUCCGGAAUUAUUGGGCGUAAAGAGCUCGUAGGCGGUCUGUCGCGUCGGCUGUGAAAACUCGGGGCUCAACCCCGAGCUUGCAGUCGAUACGGGCAGGCUAGAGUUCGGCAGGGGAGACUGGAAUUCCUGGUGUAGCGGUGAAAUGCGCAGAUAUCAGGAGGAACACCGGUGGCGAAGGCGGGUCUCUGGGCCGAUACUGACGCUGAGGAGCGAAAGCGUGGGGAGCGAACAGG
rnacentral:rRNA from 1 species